UCCAGGGUAGCUCAAUGGUGGAGCACUCGGCUGUUAACCGAUAGGUUGUGGGUUCGAGUCCCACCCCUGGAGCCA
rnacentral:tRNA from 1 species